rnacentral:rRNA from 1 species
AUUGAACGCUAGCGGGAUGCUUUACACAUGCAAGUCGAACGAGUGGCGUACGGGUGGUUAAUAUAUCGGAACGUGCCCAGUCUCUGGGUCUACCUACUCGAUAGACUGGCUAAUUCCGCACUCUAUUGGAGCGGCCGAUAUCGGAUUAGCUUGUUGGGGGGGUAAAGGCUCACAAAGGCAACGAUCCGUAGUUGGUUUGAGAGGACGACCAGCCACACUGGGACUGAGACACGGCCCAGACUCCUACGGGAGGCAGCAGUGGGGAAUGUUGGACAAUGGGGGAAACCCUGAUCCAGCCAUCCCGCGUGUAUGAGAAGGCCUUCGGGGUGUAAAGUACUUUUGGCAGAGAAGCGGUAUCUGCAGAAGAAGCACCGGCUAACGACGUGCCAGCAGCCGCGGUAAUAC